CCUACGGGCGGCAGUAGUGGGGAAUAUUGCACAAUGGGGGAAACCCUGAUGCAGCGACGCCGCGUGAGUGAAGAAGUAUUUCGGUAUGUAAAGCUCUAUCAGCAGGGAAGAAAUAGCGACCUUUGGGUCGCCAGACGGUACCUGAUUAACAAGCCCCGGCUAACUACGUGCAAGCAGCCGCGGUAAUACGUAGGGGGCAAGAGUUAUCCGGAUUUACUGGGUGUAAAGGGAGCGUAGACGGCAGCGCAAGUCUGAAGUGAAAUGCCGGGGCUUAACCCCGGAACUGCUUUGGAAACUGGGCAGCUAGAGUGCAGGAGAGGUAAGUGGAAUUCCUAGUGUAGCGGUGAAAUGCGUAGAUAUUAGGAGGAACACCAGUGGCGAAGGCGGCUUACUGGACUGUAACUGACGUUGAGGCUCGAAAGCGUGGGGAGCAAACAGGAUUAGAUACCCUUGUAGUC
rnacentral:rRNA from 1 species